rnacentral:rRNA from 1 species
AUUGAACGCUGGCGGCAGGCUUAACACAUGCAAGUCGAGCGGAGAUGAGGUGCUUGCACCUUAUCUUAGCGGCGGACGGGUGAGUAAUGCUUAGGAAUCUGCCUAUUAGUGGGGGACAACAUUCCGAAAGGAAUGCUAAUACCGCAUACGCCCUACGGGGGAAAGCAGGGGAUCUUCGGACCUUGCGCUAAUAGAUGAGCCUAAGGCGGAUUAGCUAGUUGGUGGGGUAAAGGUCUACCAAGGCGACGAUCUGUAGCGGGUCGGAGAGGAUGAGCCGCCACCCUGGGACUGGAACAAGGCCCAGACUCCAGCGGGCGGCAGCAGUGGGGAAUAUUGGACAAUGGGCGGAAGCCUGAUCCAGCCAUGCCGCGUGUGUGAAGAAGGCCUUUUGGUUGUAAAGCACUUUAAGCGAGGAGGAGGCUACCUGGAUUAAUACUCUAGGAUAGUGGACGUUACUCGCAGAAUAAGCACCGGCUAACUCUGUGCCAGCCGCCGCCGUAACAC